rnacentral:lncRNA from 1 species
GGGGGGGGCGUAGUUCUAACAAUAGUGUUCUCUAGUGGAUACAUUAAAAUCAUAUUCAGCUAAUUAAUAUUUGAUUAAGUUUUGCAUGCUAUACCGAUUUGAUAAACAUUCACAAAAUCACAGGCUUCAAGAUUUUUCUUAACACAUCCAAAGUACACAGGCAUUAAAUGGGCAAAACUAAAUAUCAAACUGACUUUAUUUAAUAGUUUCUCUACUGUUCUCUUUUGUUUUAUGUCAAGAGUUGAAUGCCACUGUUCUGUAUUUUUAAUUAUUUAUUGUUUGCUAUUGUGAGAAUUCAAAGCCAGAACUUUGAGGAGCUGACAGAGGCACUGUGGCCUAUGAAGACAGUUUUUGGAGUUAACAAUUUCCUUGGUAACUAUGGACUAUGUCUCCACACUUCAGCUCUCAUAUCUGAUGGAAUAAACUCCUUUCCAGGAGGCUUCUACUUAUGCUAAUGCACCCAAGCAAACAAGGAGGCUAAUAGAACCAGCUGUUUCUGUCUUUAUAGCAAUUUCCCAACAUUCUACACUUGAGGAUUUCUUCUGUCACAUGAUUUUUUUCAUUGGGCAUUCUUUCAAUCCUUCAUUAAAUGGCCGAGACUUCUCACUAGACCCCAACUCAAUGAAAUUCUUAAGCUGCUAGCAUUGAACAACACUGACUUUUUCAAAGCACCUUGAUAGGGAAUUUAAGCUGGACCAUCUGAAGCAGGAAAGUCUGUUGUUUUGAUGGAAUUUCCUAAUGGUACCAUUGUGGCUUUAUUUUGCCUUGUUAAUGUAAGGGAUUCAAAGCAUUUCAACUUACUACUCAUAGUUCAAGCAUCUAUUUUGCAGAUGCACUGAAAAUUAAGAGAUUGGAGAGUUUGUCAUAUAUAUUUCCAUCAUCAACUAUUCUAGUUCUUACUAAAGAAGGAGGGUGCAAAAAUUUGAAGGAUAUGUUAAAGUGCCUUCUAUACUUAAUGAUUCUUCUAGAAAAGGCAAAGUGUUGAUCUUGUUCUUUGUUAUGGUAUUAUAUCUUCUCAUGGUAAUUUGAAAGAAGUUUACAUACCAAUUUCAGUUUGUUUACCUAGGCCUUGAGAGUCAUUCUACAGUACACGAUUAGGCUACUAUGAAGACAAAAGAAAUCAUUGUGGGGAAACUCAGUACAGCUCUAGAUUUACCUUUUAUAAUAGAUGAAUCCCAGAAUGAUAAAGAUCAAGCCUGGCAUGAUGUUAAUUUAGUGGGCUAGGAUCCUGGAAACCUCCUAAAAUAGGACAUCCCAUGCAUUUGGCCUUAGCCAGUGAGGCAUCUCUGAGAAAGUGUAGAAAAACUUGCAAGGAGGUUCAGUGCUCUGAAAGACACAGAGUCAAAUGUACAUGUAAUUCCAGUUCUUCUUUUAUAUAUGUGUACUUUACAUAGUCCCUGAAGUAUCGAGAGGCUCAGGUAUAGGUGCUACCACCUUGAUAGAGUUCACUUAGCCAAAAUGCAGAAAUGGAUGCCCAGAGAGAAUAGAUUACUUGUCCUGCAUCCUGUAACUUAAAAUGUGUUAAUAAUCAUCAUAAUAAAUUCUAUCUGCCAAAUA